rnacentral:rRNA from 1 species
UACGGGGGGUGCAAGCGUUGUUCGGAAUUACUGGGCGUAAAGGGCUCGUAGGCGGCCAACUAAGUCAGCCGUGAAAUCCCUCGGCUUAACCGGGGAACUGCGUCUGAUACUGGAUGGCUAGAGGUUGGGAGAGGGAUGCGGAAUUCCAGGUGUAGCGGUGAAAUGCGUAGAUAUCUGGAGGAACACCGGUGGCGAAGGCGGCAUCCUGGACCAAUUCUGACGCUGAGGAGCGAAAGCCAGGGGAGCAAACGGG